UCCGUAGGUGAACCUGCGGAAGGAUCAUUAACCUUUCAAAACAGGGUGCGUCGCGGCCCCCGAGGUGCGGAAACAAGCCUCGAGCGGUUUGGGGUCCUCCCCUUCACGCGCGCACGACUGCCAUCCUUACUUUACGAGCACCUUCUGUUCUCCCUCGGCGGGGCAACCUGCCGUUGGAACCGAAUAAACUCUUUUUGCAUCUAGCAUUACCUGUUCCGAAACAAACAAUCGUUACAACUUUCAACAAUGGAUCUCUUGGCUCUGGCAUCGAUGAAGAACGCAGCGAAAUGCGAUAAGUAGUGUGAAUUGCAGAAUUCAGUGAAUCAUCGAAUCUUUGAACGCACAUUGCGCCCCUCGGUAUUCCGUGGGGCAUGCCUGUUCGAGCGUCAUCUACACCCUCAAGCUCUGCUUGGUGUUGGGCGUCUGUCCCGCCUCCGCGCGUGGACUCGCCCCAAAUUCAUUGGCAGCGGUCCUUGCCUCCUCUCGCGCAGCACAUUGCGCUUCUUGAGGGGCUCCGGUUCGCGUCCAACAAGCACAUUUACCGUCUUUGACCUCGGAUCAGGUAGGGAUACCCGCUGAACUUAAGCA
rnacentral:misc_RNA from 1 species